GCUGGCUGAGUCAUCUGAGGCCUUAGAACUUGGCAUGCAUCUUCUUUGUGUUAGUGGAUGAGGCCGUGUGGGUGUGUAUGAGUUCCCUAACACCGGCAUUGGACUCAGGCAAGCACAUUUUGUAAGCCACUCAAGCGUGGAGAAAGCCUGGGAUCCACUGGCUUCCUAAGUGCACGCUGCUCCAACAGCCCAGAUCGGCGUUACUCUCUUCUAGAGAAUGUCCACGGGAAGACAAGGACUUCUGCCCUGAUGCUCGGCUGCAGGUUCUCGUCUCUACCACCUGGACACAUUGGGACCUGGCUGCUGGGAGUUGUUGGGGUACGUGUGGCCCGUUGAUCCUUUCCACAUUUCCUUCCUGGUCACUGAGUCUGGACUCAAGCCUGAGUGAUCGUGGCGAGGGUCAACAGAGAAAGGACCCGUCUGUCUCCCACAGCCCACAGACACCACGCAAUCCUGCCUUUUUAACUGCCCAGGUAAACAAUUCCCUGUGAGGCGCAAACUGUCCCACUAGUGGGAACAGCUAAAGCGGGGGAGGGCUCCACCACCGACACCACUCCCGCUUCAGCUUGCCGAUCCGGCUUCUCCUUGCACUCUGCUGGAUCGAAGCUAGGGGCUUCUUCUCACUCCAGGGACUCAUUCGGCAGAACCAGUUCCGAGGUCACGGUGCCCAGUGAGUAAGUUCCCUGGGAUUGCCCUUUGACACCUGCUUUUCAUAAGCCCCUGAGAAUUUUGCCCAAGGUGGGCUAGCUCUUCCUUCUUCCUCUGGGACCACUUCCUGGACACGAAGGCUGUUCACACGGAGGGAAUCCCCCUCCAACUGGGAGUGGCUGAUGGACGCAUUCUGGAAAGCAGUAAGGUACACAAAGAUAAAAAUCCCAGUGUAAAAACGCAUUUGUCAAUGAGCAUGACCUCAGUUCUGAGAAGUCUGGCUGUUUUAAGGCUUGACUUGACUUUCCUUUCCUGGAGAGAGAGUAGGAGAAAUAGUUCACCCCCAAACUCUAUUUCCUGGAUUCACAGAACACAUUCCACUCACGAGAGCAUUCGUGGGGAGAAGCUAAUUUCAUUUGAACUCCUAGUCUUUCUUCCUGGUAGAGCUGGGGACCCCACCACUUGUCAGUUUUGCUCCCACAUAGGUGACUUGAGACCUUUCCCUGAAAACUGUGCAAACGCAACUGAUAGACCGAUUCCGUAGCCCAUCGCCA
rnacentral:lncRNA from 1 species